CUUAAAAAGAAAAAAAGAAGAAGAAAAAAAAAAGUAGUUUGGAGGAAGCAAGGAAGCACAUAGAGUGGCUUCUACAGCUGUUGUACAAUAGUUUCACAUCCAGCACCAACUGUAGUCUCAGGCUUCUGCAAAUGAAGGUUUUGCUUCUUCCAACGGGGGUGAAAAGGGAUUCAGCAGAAAGCCCGAGGGUAAGCACAGUCAGACCAGCAGCAGAAUUCACCCACGUGCCCUCAGCAUCCAGCUCAUCUCUCACCUCUCUCCUGUGCCUUUUGAAGUCAGUAUUGCGACACUCCACGGACUCCUGCUGCAAUCUGUGGCAGGUUACCACUACUCGUGCUUAUCAUCUUUGUCACGAUGUUUCCAUCCCAGGUACUCUCAGAAAAACCUGCACAGUUGGAGCUCGGCUGGUUACCCUCGGGGCAGUGCAAAGGAGAAGAGGCUGCUGCUCCCUGCUCCACCUUCUGGCUCUGCAGGGCAGGCAGCAGGAGCAGACUGUUUGCACUAAAGCAAACCAAGCAGAAGGAGCUUGAUAAUAAAUGGGAGGCAGAUAUCUGGCACCAAGGUGCUAGUUUUAUGGUUGGUUUUCCAAGCGUUUUAAAAUGCACUGGGAAAUUGAUUUGUCAUCAGGACAAGAGCCUGUGCUCAUCAGGUCUGUCAGGUUCAGUUUUCAGCUGAGUUAUCUGAUUCACUAGUGCUCUUUUCCUACCGUUCUAUUUAAGACAAAUAAAGGCUUCAAAUCCAUGUUGUAAUUUUCCCAGGCUUUUAUUGAAAUGCACAGGAGAGGGGCUCUGAAGAGCUAUUUAUUCGUGCUUUCCCCAUUAGCUCGUACAUGCCUGUAAAAACAAAAGGAGCAAAAAACCCCACUCUUGAUGCUUACACAAACCCAAACAAUUUACAGUCUUGUAACACCCUUACUCUUCUGGAAAUUUUUGGACAGUGUCAGUUCACACCAUCUGUUUGAACUAACGGUCCCCA